rnacentral:ribozyme from 12 species
AACAAAAUAAAAAAAAAAGUAGAAAUACAAGUUCAAAUGAAUCAAUCGUUGUGUUCCGCACGAACUUUUCCUGUUUUUUUUUUUUUUUUUUUUUUUU